rnacentral:ncRNA from 1 species
CUAAAAACUGUGAAGAGGAUUAUUAAGAAACCCUGCGUGUCAAGAGAGCUGCCGUCUGGUGCAAGGCAGUCACGUAAGCUUCCCAACUGGCCUCGGAGUUCCCAAAUCGAACUUUCCCCAUUGGCGGAUCAGUAGAUGCGGGCGGGAUUUCCCGUUACAGAAAAAAUGAGUGCACAGAAUAAUUUAAACCUGUGAAUUAGAGUGGUACCACGGAAUUUAAGCCCUUUCGUCUCUAGC